UACAGAGGCCUCGAGCGUUAAUCGGAAUCACUGGGCUUAAAGGGCGCGUAGGCGGCCUUCUAAGUCAGACGUGAAAUCCCCCGGCUUAACCUGGGAACUGCGUCUGAUACUGGAAGGCUUGAGUGCGGGAGAGGGAUGUGGAAUUCCAGGUGUAGCGGUGAAAUGCGUAGAUAUCUGGAGGAACACCGGUGGCGAAGGCGGCAUCCUGGACCGACACUGACGCUGAGGCGCGAAAGCUAGGGUAGCAAACGGG
rnacentral:rRNA from 1 species